rnacentral:rRNA from 1 species
UACGUAGGGGGCAAGCGUUGUCCGGAUUUAUUGGGCGUAAAGAGCGUGUAGGCGGUUUGGUAGGUCCGUUGUGAAAACUCGAGGCUCAACCUCGAGACGCCGAUGGAAACCAUCAGACUAGAGUCCGGAAGAGGAGAGUGGAAUUCCUGGUGUAGCGGUGAAAUGCGCAGAUAUCAGGAGGAACACCAAUUGCGAAGGCAGCUCGCUGGGACGUUACUGACGCUGAGACGCGAAAGCGUGGGGAGCAAACAGG